rnacentral:rRNA from 1 species
ACUCCUACGGGAGGCAGCAGUGAGGAAUAUUGGACAAUGGAGGCAACUCUGAUCCAGCCAUGCCGCGUGCAGGAAGCUGCCCUAUGGGUUGUAAACUGCUUUUAUACAGGAAGAAACCACUCUACGUGUAGAGUUUCUGACGGUACUGUAAGAAUAAGGAUCGGCUAACUCCGUGCCAGCAGCCGCGGUAAUACGGAGGAUCCAAGCGUUAUCCGGAAUCAUUGGGUUUAAAGGGUCCGUAGGUGGAUGAUUAAGUCAGAGGUGAAAGUCUGCAGCUCAACUGUAGAAUUGCCUUUGAUACUGGUUAUCUUGAGUUAUUAUGAAGUAGUUAGAAUAUGUAGUGUAGCGGUGAAAUGCAUAGAUAUUACAUAGAAUACCAAUUGCGAAGGCAGAUUACUAAUAAUAUACUGACACUGAUGGACGAAAGCGUGGGGAGCGAACAGGAUUAGAUACCCUGGUAGGAUAGCGU